AACGAACGCUGGCGGCAUGCCUAACACAUGCAAGUCGAACGAGACCUUCGGGUCUAGUGGCGCACGGGUGCGUAACGCGUGGGAAUCUGCCCUUUGCUUCGGAAUAACAGUUAGAAAUGACUGCUAAUACCGGAUGAUGUCUUCGGACCAAAGAUUUUAAUCCGGCAAAGGAUGAGCCCGCGUAGGAUUAGGUAGUUGGUGGGGUAAAGCCUACCAAGCCGACGAUCCCUUAGCUGGUCUGAGAGGAUGAUCAGCCACACUGGGACUGAGACACGGCCCAGACUCCUACGGGAGGCAGCAGUGGGGAAUAUUGGACAAUGGGCGCAAGCCUGAUCCAGCAAUGCCGCGUGAGUGAUGAAGGCCUUCGGGUCG
rnacentral:rRNA from 1 species